AUUGAACGCUGGCGGCAUGCUUUACACAUGCAAGUCGAACGGUAACAGGCCGCAAGGUGCUGACGAGUGGCGAACGGGUGAGUAAUGCAUCGGAACGUGCCCAGUCGUGGGGGAUAACGCAGCGAAAGCGGCGCUAAUACCGCAUACGAUCUAUGGAUGAAAGCGGGGGACCGUAAGGCCUCGUGCGAUUGGAGCGGCCGAUGUCAGAUUAGGUAGUUGGUGGGGUAAAGGCUCACCAAGCCAACGAUCUGUAGCUGGUCUGAGAGGACGACCAGCCACACUGGGACUGAGACACGGCCCAGACUCCUACGGGAGGCAGCAGUGGGGAAUUUUGGACAAUGGGCGCAAGCCUGAUCCAGCCAUGCCGCGUGUCUGAAGAAGGCCUUCGGGUUGUAAAGGACUUUUGUCCGGGAGCAAAUGCCUGGUGUUAAUAGCACUGGGAGCUGAGAGUACCGGAAGAAUAAGCACCGGCUAACUACGUGCCAGCAGCCGCGGUAAGAC
rnacentral:rRNA from 1 species